ensembl:lncRNA
GUGUGAAGUGACCUACAUCCUGGAAAAUUAUUUAAGCUUAUGGAGUAAAUCAUUCUCUCCUAGAAGCCAUUGCCAAGGACAGUGAUUGGAUUACAAGACUAGCAUUUCGAGUUAUCUGAAACCGGCAUGCUACCUGGCUAUUUCUGAUUUUACAUGAGAAGAUUCUUGUUUUAAGACGGUGGAGACUGAACCCAGCGCCUCACCCAUGCUAGUAAGUGCUUUACCGGUGAGCUGCAGCCCCAGUUCGUUUGAAGGCAAGACGGGACAUCAAGUGGCUUGACUUUUGUACCCCACUUUCUUUGGCCAUCAAAUACAGGCUGUUCUGAGCAGCGAG